rnacentral:rRNA from 1 species
CGAGGGGAGUGAAAAAGAACCUGAAACCGUGUACGUACAAGCAGUGGGAGCACCCUUCGGGGUGUGACUGCGUACCUUUUGUAUAAUGGGUCAGCGACUUAUAUUCUGUAGCAAGGUUAACCGUAUAGGGGAGCCGGAGGGAAACCGAGUCUUAAUUGGGCGUUAAGUUGCAGGGUAUAGACCCGAAACCCGGUGAUCUAGCCAUGGGCAGGUUGAAGGUUGGGUAACACUAACUGGAGGACCGAACCGACUAAUGUUGAAAAAUUAGCGGAUGACCUGUGGCUGGGGGUGAAAGGCCAAUCAAACCGGGAGAUAGCUGGUUCUCCCCGAAAGCUAUUUAGGUAGCGCCUCGUGAAUUCAUCUCCGGGGGUAGAGCACUGUUUCGGCUAGGGGGCCAUCCCGGCUUACCAACCCGAUGCAAACUGCGAAUACCGGAGAAUGUUAUCACGGGAGACACACGGCGGGUGCUAACGUCCGUCGUGAAGAGGGAAACAACCCAGACCGCCAGCUAAGGUCCCAAAGUCAUGGUUAAGUGGGAAACGAUGUGGGAAGGCCCAGACAGCCAGGAUGUUGGCUUAGAAGCAGCCAUCAUUUAAAGAAAGCGUAAUAGCUCACUGGUCGAGUCGGCCUGCGCGGAAGAUGUAACGGGGCUAAACCAUGCACCGAAGCUGCGGCAGCGAACGUAUCACCCAAGACAACUUUACGGAGUUGACGAUUGACGGAGCGAAGCGACGUCAAAGCGUUCAUUAAAGUCGAGUUGGCUUAGGGAUACGUUCGUUGGGUAGGGGAGCGUUCUGUAAGCCUGUGAAGGUGUGUCGUGAGGCAUGCUGGAGGUAUCAGAAGUGCGAAUGCUGACAUAAGUAACGAUAAAGCGGGUGAAAAGCCCGCUCGCCGGAAGACCAAGGGUUCCUGUCCAACGUUAAUCGGGGCAGGGUGAGUCGACCCCUAAGGCGAGGCCGAAAGGCGUAGUCGAUGGGAAACGGGUUAAUAUUCCCGUACUUGGUGUUACUGCGAAGGGGGGACGGAGAAGGCUAUGUUGGCCGGGCGACGGUUGUCCCGGUUUAAGCGUGUAGGUGUGUGUUCCAGGUAAAUCCGGUU